AGUGAACGCUGGCGGUAGGCCUAACACAUGCAAGUCGAACGGCAGCACAGUAAGAGCUUGCUCUUACGGGUGGCGAGUGGCGGACGGGUGAGGAAUACAUCGGAAUCUACUUUUUCGUGGGGGAUAACGUAGGAAAACUUACGCUAAUACCGCAUACGACCUACGGGUGAAAGCAGGGGAUCUUCGGACCUUGCGCGAUUGAAUGAGCCGAUGUCGGAUUAGCUAGUUGGCGGGGUAAAGGCCCACCAAGGCGACGAUCCGUAGCUGGUCUGAGAGGAUGAUCAGCCACACUGGAACUGAGACACGGUCCAGACUCCUACGGGAGGCAGCAGUGGGGAAUAUUGGACAAUGGGCGCAAGCCUGAUCCAGCCAUACCGCGUGGGUGAAGAAGGCCUUCGGGUUGUAAAGCCCUUUUGUUGGGAAAGAAAAGCAGCAGGUUAAUACCCCGCUGUUCUGACGGUACCCAAAGAAUAAGCACCGGCCAACUUCGUG
rnacentral:rRNA from 1 species